AGGGCUGUAACUCAGUGGCAGAGUGCUUGCCUAGCAUGCAUGAGGCACUGGGUUCAAUCCUCAGUUCCA
rnacentral:tRNA from 1 species